rnacentral:rRNA from 1 species
UGGGGAAUAUUGGACAAUGGGGGAAACCCUGAUCCAGCGACGCCGCGUGUGUGAAGAAGGCCUGCGGGUUGUAAAGCACUUUCGGUGGGAACGAAAUGUGCCGGGCUAAUAUCCCGGCAAGCUGACGUUACUCAAUGAAGAAGCACCGGCUAACUCUGUGCCAGCAGCCGCGGUAAUACAGAGGGUGCGAGCGUUAAUCGGAAUUACUGGGCGUAAAGCGUGCGCAGGCGGCUCCUUAAGUCAGAUGUGAAAUCCCCGGGCUCAACCUGGAAAUUGCAUUUGAGACUGCACGGCUAGAGUGUGUCAGAGGGGGGUAGAAGUCCACGUGUAGCAGUGAAAUGCGUAGAUAUGUGGAGGAACACCGAUGGCGAAGGCAGCCCCCUGGGUUAACACUGACGCUCAUGCACGAAAGCGUGGGGAGCAAACAGGAUUAGAUACCCACGUAGUCCCUGAGCGGGCUGGCAAGGCGCAU